rnacentral:misc_RNA from 1 species
CUUAUCUCAUUAGUCAAUAGUAAUCGAAUGCGAAGCGCGGUGAGUCUCACUCCUCAGACGACUCUCUCCUCCAUUGCACGAAUGGCCAGAAGUCUAGGAGGAUUUCUGGUGCUGCUCGUGGCAGCAUUGAUCUGCUUAGCUUUCGUUGUCUCUGCUGCUUCGAUCUUUCAACCAAUUUCUGACUCCCACCGAUCUGCCGCUUUGGA